rnacentral:misc_RNA from 1 species
UUAUUUUCUUAUUUGCAGUUGCAGAUAAUCAAGAUCAAAAAUCGGCCAUGUUAUCGAAAAUUCGAUAAGAAUAUUGGAAGAUGGAUGUGCACACACAGAACAAGAGGAGAUUGCAUUCCUCCUGAGUGUUUGAACUUCUUAAAGACGAAGAUGUUAAACGUUUGAUAGCUAUAUAAGUGAACGUUUUCAAAAGUACUAUGGCAGAUUCAAACGUGUACAACGUGAAUGCAGAUAGUUCCAUCGUGAUUAUGGGCGAAGGACAUAUGAUCAACAUUGGGCAACAAAAAGAAAACAUUGAUGACAAGAAAGAAGCUCCGAAUAUAUUACAAACCGUGUCAAAACUUCCAGCAAAGCCUUUCCACAAGUGUUCGACGCGAGUUCGCGAUGUCGAUAAAAUGAAGUCCAUUUUCAAAGGCAUGGAAGAUGAACAACAGGCGCAUUUGACAGCUAUUUAUAUCACAGGGCCCCCCGGUUCUGGGAAGACGCAACUAGCACGUCAAUUCGGGGAACAAUUUCAAGGAGACGUAACAAAUAAUGGUACAGAGCGUCCAGUUGUGAUGACAUUAAUUGUCGAGUCAAUGAAAACAUUGUUUAAAUCGAUAAAAGAGUUGUUAGAUCAUCUUCAUUUGGCAAAAUCAGACACUGUAACUGAAACUGAGGAAGAUGGCGAGAUCAAGGUCGUGCAGCUGUAUAUGGAAGAAUUACGAAAGGUGCUGAGGGGAUACCCAGGAAAGUGGCUUCUCAUUUUGGAUAAUAUGUUUGGAAAUAAGGAUUUCCACGAAAUAUUACCACAACCAGGUUGUGAAAACUGGGGCAAUGGGAAAAUGAUCGUAACGACUCAAAAUAGUGACCUUGCUCCUGUAUGUCACCAAUACGCUAAAGAUCUCUCCUUGAAGUGUGGAUUGGACGAGAACGAUGCAGUCAACUUACUCCAGGAAAUAAGUGGAGUUAAAGUGGAUGAAUUUGCUGUAAAUUUGGUCAAAGAAUUAGAGUUUCUCCCUCUAUCUCUUGCCUGCGCAGCGACCUAUGUCAGUGAAAUGAAGAAGGAUCGUCCUUCUAAAAAAUUCUCCUGGGAGCAAUAUCUUAAUCUCUAUCGUGAGCACAGAGGUAUGAUGAGAUCUCGGACAUUUGAGACAUAUAACGUAUAUCGCGAUUCAAUGGUUGUAGCUGCACGACUAGCCACAAGCCGCCUAGCUGAAUAUAGCGACGUUCUUCGUAAUGCUUUUGACUUUUUAUCAUAUUGCACUACAAGCCCAGUACCUUUAAUCUUCGUUUCAAGCUAUGUUCAAGAAUCAAUUCCAUCUGGUAGAAUAAGUGAUGAAAUCUUAGCUGAAAUUUCUCGUUGCUCCUUACUGUCGCUGCCAGAUGAUUCAUCCUCUUUUUCAACAGUGGAAACUGUUAAAUUCCACCAGGUAAUGGGAAAAGCUUUUGAAUACGCGAGGGAGGAACGAGCUUCUUCGCAGAACUUGGACGCUGAACAGAGAAGAAUGGAAUAUGUGUCUCUGUUACAUUCCUUACAAGAGAGUUUGGAAAAGGUUAUUCCAGGUAACGAUCGCGAUAGUGUCGCACUGAAGAUGUUAGCUAGUCCUCAUCUGAAGGUGGUUAUAGAUUAUGGUAAAGCCAAAAACUGGACUGACUGUUCCGAAUUUGUUGAUAUUGUCACCAUUCUUGCAAAUUGUCUUUACAACGUUCCUGGUGUCACGGAGUCUGAACGCAUCUCGUAUUGCGAACUUGCCAAUGAAAUUGCUCUACGUCUCUCGAAACCCAUGAAAAGCAUCCGGUACUGCCAUCUACUGAAAUCGCUUGGUUUCUACUACCGAGAAGCAAAUUACCUCGAUAAAGCUGUGGUUAUUCUUAAAGAAGGUCUUCGCUUGACUGAAAAUAAAGAAAGCAACGAAUGGGUGGUUUUGAAAUCCGCUCUGCUCAGCGUUCUAUCGUGGACGUUUAAAAUGCAGACGAAAUUCGAUCAGGCAGAGGAGGCGAUGAAGAAGUCGAUCGAUCUGGCAAAAAAAUCGUUCGGGGCGAAUCAUCAAGUGAUUGUAGAAAGGCUUUGCGAUUUUGCAAUCAUAUAUCGCGAAAAGGUAGAUAUCGCGAAAGCUAAAGAAAUGGCAGACCAAGCACGUCAAAUGGCUAAGAUCACCACAGGCAAUUUGCAUCUAACGAGAGCACAGGCAGCCAAUUAUUCUGCAAAAAUUUACUUACGUUAUGCGGAAAUGAUUGACAGCCUUGAGCAGAAGAAAAGCCUGCUGUAUGAUUCACUAAAACUACACGCGGAUGCAUUGGCCAUAUACGAAAAUGUUUUAGGAGAGGAUCAUAUUUUUGUGGCAGGAGUAUGUAUGACGUAUGGUACUGUGUACAAGGAGCUGAAUGAUUAUACGCAUGCGCUUGAAUUUGUCAAACGAGCGGAGGAAAUCUAUCGGGAUGUUGAACAUGUUCAAUUGAGUUCUGCUCUUCGCUAUAAGACCGAGGUAUUACUGGCUCUUGGUGAAGCUAACGAGGCCGAAAAAGCUAUUAAGAAAAGCAUCGAGAUAGAAAACUGUGGCCGUGCUAGAUUUCUGUUAGCCGAUGUCUAUUUGCAUCAAGAAAAAUACCAGGAAGCCAGAGAUGUUAUCCAAGAAGUUCUCACUCGAUGGAAGUCAGGCAUUCUUCCUCCAACCCAUUUUUGGGUAAAGCAUGCUGAGAAGAUAAAACAAGAAUGCGACAGAGAAAUUAGAUUCAAAAUAUUCCUUAGAUUUCUUCCGGUGGUUGUUUUAAUCGUUGCAAUCUUUCUUGCUGUUUGGUACAGCUGGUAAUCCCAAACUACAUGCAGUAAUCCACCAAUGUAAACAAUGUACAGUUAUACAAUUAAUACAAUUUAUGUUGCUAUGAUGUUCACCUGGAGAUUAUAGUUAUGAUUUAUUUCUGUAUAUUUAAGAACGUGUGUAGACAAUAAUUUAUUAUAAAUAGUACUUAUUGUAGACAGUAUUUUGGCCUACCCUUUUAACAUUUAGUUUUUCUUUCUCAGUAAUAAAUUCAGCUUUCCUGCAUGUGGUGUCUGACUUCAGUUUGUACAUGAAGAUGGAUUAUGAAAAUUAUAAAACGACCAGUCUCUAGUUUGUGCACACAUGAAAAUACGUAAGAUAGGAGCAGUAGUAGUUUGUGCCACUGCAAAAGACGAAAGUGGGUCCUUCUCGAUUUGAGCAAACUCGCCUAAUCACAAAGCGUUCGACGCACAAAGACCUCCUCUGCCGGAGACAAAGAACUCGGCGAGAAAAAGCAAGGGAGUAAUUGCAAUCCUCA